rnacentral:misc_RNA from 1 species
AACACUGUUAACCUGCGGUACCUGCGGAAGGAUCAUUACAGAGUGUUUAACCCCCUAUAAAAUGGUGGGUCUAACCUCCCGUCCUUUGCUGGGUCCCCCUUCUGGAGGACUUUCAAAACUUUCUGCUUCGGCGGGGUAUACCCGCCGGAACACCCUCAAAAAAUUCUUGAUCAAAAUGGUUCGGUCCGAGAAACUUUUUGUGAAAAUUAGCGAAAAACUUUUAACAAUGGAUCUCAGAUC